rnacentral:rRNA from 1 species
GACGAACGCUGGCGGCGUGCUUAAUACAUGCAAGUCGAGCGGACAGACGCGGCGUUUGCUGUACUCACGUUAGCAACGGGCGGGUGAGACACGCGUGGUUAGCCCACCUCUAAGACUGAGACCUCUUCGAGAAAGUGGAGCUACUGCCAGGUAACAUUUUGAAUCUGAUGGUUGAAUAGUGAAUGACGUUUAUGCUGUCACCUCUAGAUAGAUGCGCGCCGCAUUAGUAAGUUGGUAAGGUAACGGCUUACGAUGGCAACGAUGCGUAGCCGACCUGAGAGGGUGAACGGCCACACUGAGACUGAGACACGGUCCAGACUCCUACGGGAGGCAGCAGUAGGGAAUCGUCCGAGAUGUGCGAAAGCCUGACGGAGCAACGCCGCGUGAGUGAUGAAGGUCUUCGUAUCGUAAAACUCUGUUAUUAGGGAAGAACAAAUGUGUAAGUAACUAUGCACGUCUUGACGGUACCUAAUCAGAAAGCCACGGCUAACUACGUG